GGGGAAUUUUGGACAAUGGGCGCAAGCCUGAUCCAGCCAUGCCGCGUGUCUGAAGAAGGCCUUCGGGUUGUAAAGGACUUUUGUCAGGGAAGAAAAGGGCGGGGUUAAUACCCCUGUCUGAUGACGGUACCUGAAGAAUAAGCACCGGCUAACUACGUGCCAGCAGCCGCGGUAAUACGUAGGGUGCGAGCGUUAAUCGGAAUUACUGGGCGUAAAGCGGGCGCAGACGGUUACUUAAGCAGGAUGUGAAAUCCCCGGGCUCAACCUGGGAACUGCGUUCUGAACUGGGUGACUAGAGUGUGUCAGAGGGAGGUAGAAUUCCACGUGUAGCAGUGAAAUGCGUAGAGAUGUGGAGGAAUACCGAUGGCGAAGGCAGCCUCCUGGGAUAACACCGACGUUCAUGCCCGAAAGCGUGGGUAGCAAACAGGAUUAGAUACCCUGGUAGUCCACGCCCUAAACGAUGUCGAUUAGCUGUUGGGCAGCUUGACUGCUUAGUAGCGAAGCUAACGCGUGAAAUCGACCGCCUGGGGAGUACGGUCGCAAGAUUA
rnacentral:rRNA from 1 species